rnacentral:rRNA from 1 species
AAGCUCAAAUUUGAAAUCUGACGUUCAUCCUGACGUCCGAGUUGUAAUUUGGAGGAUCACUUUCGGGGGCCGACGCCGUUCUAASUUCUUUUGGAACUGGACAUCACAGAGGGUGAGAAUCCCGUGCCUGGGSGGCAGUCUGGUUCCCAUACGAAGCGUUUCCGACGAGUCGAGUUGUUUGGGAAUGCAGCUCAAAGUGGGUGGUAAWUUUCAUCUAAAGCUAAAUACAGGCGAGAGACCGAUAGCGCACAAGUAGAGUGAUCGAAAGAUGAAAAGCACUUUGAAAAGAGAGUUAAACAGUACGUGAAAUUGUUGAAAGGGAAGCGCUUGGGAUUGAACCAUGACAGGAUGGAGCUUUGUGGACGGGUCUGGAUUCUUGUAACCGAGCCCGUCGGCAUACCCCUCCAUCCUCCCUCCAACCACCAUCGGUUCCGGCGGCGAGAAAAGCGGUUGGGGAAUGUGGCUCCCCUCGGGGAGUGUUAUAGACCCAAGCCGAAUUGCGCCAGCCGGGAUCGAGGCAAGUAAUGAGCGAGUUUGGGGUUUUGUACCCCUUGACCUCAAGGAUGUGUGGCAUGUCGAUCUUAAGCGACCCG